GAUAUCGGGUGAAAGCCCCGUCCACGCAACCACUCAGGUGGUGAGCGCGAGCGGUUGGGCGGGACACGUGUUAUCCUGUCUGAAUACGGGGGGACCAUCCUCCAAUUCUAUAUACUCCUGACUUACCGAUAGUGAAGCAGUACCGUGAGUGAAACGAGAAAAGACCCCCGGCGAGGGGAGUUAUAAUGAAGCUGAAACCGUGUAAGUACUAGCAGUGGGAGCAGGUUCGUUGUGUGAAUGCGUACCUUUUGUAUUAUGG
rnacentral:rRNA from 1 species